AGUGAACGCUGGCGGUAGGCCUAACACAUGCAAGUCGAACGGCAGCACAGUAAGAGCUUGCUCUUACGGGUGGCGAGUGGCGGACGGGUGAGGAAUACAUCGGAAUCUACUUUUUCGUGGGGGAUAACGUAGGGAAACUUACGCUAAUACCGCAUACGACCUACGGGUGAAAGCAGGGGAUCUUCGGACCUUGCGCGAUUGAAUGAGCCGAUGUCGGAUUAGCUAGUUGGCGGGGUAAAGGCCCACCAAGGCGACGAUCCGUAGCUGGUCUGAGAGGAUGAUCAGCCACACUGGAACUGAGACACGGUCCAGACUCCUACGGGAGGCAGCAGUGGGGAAUAUUGGACAAUGGGCGAAAGCCUGAUGCAGCCAUACCGCGUGGGUGAAGAAGGCCUUCGGGUUGUAAAGCCCUGUUGUUGGGAAAGAAAAGCAGCAGGUUAAUACCUCGCUGUUCUGACGGUACCCAAAGAAUAAGCACCGGCUAACUUCGUG
rnacentral:rRNA from 1 species